rnacentral:rRNA from 1 species
GAUGAACGCUGGCGGCGUGCCUAACACAUGCAAGUCGAGCGAUUUACUUCGGUAAAGAGCGGCGGACGGGUGAGUAACGCGUGGGUAACCUGCCCUGUACACACGGAUAACAUACCGAAAGGUGUGCUAAUACGAGAUAAUAUGCUUUUAUCGCAUGGUAGAAGUAUCAAAGCUUUUGCGGUACAGGAUGGACCCGCGUCUGAUUAGCUAGUUGGUAAGGUAACGGCUUACCAAGGCGACGAUCAGUAGCCGACCUGAGAGGGUGAUCGGCCACAUUGGAACUGAGACACGGUCCAAACUCCUACGGGAGGCAGCAGUGGGGAAUAUUGCACAAUGGGCGAAAGCCUGAUGCAGCAACGCCGCGUGAGCGAUGAAGGCCUUCGGGUCGUAAAGCUCUGUCCUCAAGGAAGAUAAUGACGGUACUUGAGGAGGAAG